rnacentral:rRNA from 1 species
CAGUCGCCGCGGUAAUACGAAGGGUGCAAGCGUUACUCGGAAUUACUGGGCGUAAAGCGUGCGUAGGUGGUGGUUUAAGUCCGUUGUGAAAGCCCUGGGCUCAACCUGGGAAUUGCAGUGGAUACUGGGUCACUAGAGUGUGGUAGAGGAUAGUGGAAUUUCCGGUGUAGCAGUGAAAUGCGUAGAGAUCGGAAGGAACAUCUGUGGCGAAGGCGACUAUCUGGGCCAACACUGACACUGAGGCACGAAAGCGUGGGGAGCAAACAGGAUUAGAGACCCCCGUAGUCCCUGUCUCUUAUAC